rnacentral:rRNA from 1 species
CCUACGGGUGGCAGCAGUCGAGAAUCAUUCACAAUGGGGGAAACCCUGAUGGUGCGACGCCGCGUGGGGGAAUGAAGGUCUUCGGAUUGUAAACCCCUGUCAUGUGGGAGCAAAUUAAAAAGAUAGUACCACAAGAGGAAGAGACGGCUCACUCUGUGCCAGCAGCCGCGGUAAUAAAGAGGUCUCAAGCGUUGUUCGGAAUCACUGGGAGUAAAGCGUGGGGGGGAGGGUUCGUAAGGCGGGUGUGAAAGGCGCGGGCUCAACCCGCGGACGGCACAUGAUACUGCGAGACUAGAGUAAAGUAGGGGGAACCGGAAUUCUCGGUGUAGCAGUGAAAUGCGUAGAUAUCGGGAGGAACACUCGUGGCGAAGGCGGGUUCCUGGACAUUAACUGACGCUGAGGCACGAAGGCCAGGGGAGCGAAAGGGAUUAGAUACCCCAGUAGUC